GAUGAACGCUGGCGGCGUGCCUAAUACAUGCAAGUCGAGCGAACAGACGAGGAGCUUGCUCCUCUGACGUUAGCGGCGGACGGGUGAGUAACACGUGGAUAACCUACCUAUAAGACUGGGAUAACUUCGGGAAACCGGAGCUAAUACCGGAUAAUAUAUUGAACCGCAUGGUUCAAUAGUGAAAGACGGUUUUGCUGUCACUUAUAGAUGGAUCCGCGCCGCAGUAGCUAGUUGGUAAGGUAACGGCUUACCAAGGCGACGAUGCGUAGCCGACCUGAGAGGGUGAUCGGCCACACUGGAACUGAGACACGGUCCAGACUCCUACGGGAGGCUGCAGUAGGGAAUCUUCCGCAAUGGGCGAAAGCCUGACGGAGCAACGCCGCGUGAGUGAUGAAGGUCUUCGGAUCGUAAAACUCUGUUAUUAGGGAAGAACAAAUGUGUAAGUAACUAUGCACGUCUUGACGGUACCUAAUCAGAAAGCCACGGCUAACUACGUG
rnacentral:rRNA from 1 species